rnacentral:lncRNA from 1 species
GUAGAAUCUCCAGCAGGGAGGACAUUUUUCAGCGUCGCACAGCAGUUUCUGGCGUGCUCGUGGCCUCGCCUGCUUCCGAAGUAACCACGCUGUUUUGCUGAAGGAUGUCUGUGUCCUCUACGGGUCCACGUUCAUGGUGUGAUGUGGCCGUGCACUGAUGCAUGGAUUCUAAAUGUGUUGGCCCUUCCUUGGCGCUCGCUCCACACAGCCUUGUGGAGUUGUUAUUCACACACGGGAGCAGAUGUUGUGAAGAGAAAACAGCGUGACAAGAUUGUGAUCGAUGCAUACUGCCCCAUCAAAAUCGCUGCAUAAUUUGGCGGAUGGCAUCAGGAUAACAACCCGCAUUAGCUGGAGACAGCUGUCGCCAUGGCGCCUGGCAGCAGAGUCCUAAAGUUGAGACAAUAUCCACAUCUGGAGAGCACACCAGGAAGACUUUGUCGUGUCUGUGACUAUCAUUAAAUGUGAAGACUGU